rnacentral:rRNA from 1 species
GGCCCGCACAAGCGGAGGAACAUGUGGUUUAAUUCGAUGAUACGCGAGGAACCUUACCCGGGCUUGAACUGCGGCUGCAUAGACCAGAGAUGGUCUUUCCCUUCGGGGCUGCCGCGGAGGUGCUGCAUGGUUGUCGUCAGCUCGUGCCGUGAGGUGUCGGCUUAAGUGCCGUAACGAGCGCAACCCUUCUCCACGCUUGCCAUCGGGUAAUGCUGGGCACACCGUGGACACUGCCAUCGUAAGAUGCGAGGAAGGUGGGGAUGACGUCAAAUCAGCACGGCCCUUACGUCCGGGGCUACACACGUGUUACAAUGGCCGGUACAGAGGGAAGCCACCUGGCGACAGGGCGCGGAUCCCGAAAUCCGGUCUCAGUUCGGACUGGAGUCUGCAACCCGACUCCACGAAGCUGGAUUCGCUAGUAAUCGCGCAUCAGCCAUGGCGCGGUGAAUACGUUCCCGGGC